GACGAACGCUGGCGGCGUGCUUAACACAUGCAAGUCGAACGGAAAGGCCCUGCUUUUGUGGGGUGCUCGAGUGGCGAACGGGUGAGUAACACGUGAGUAACCUGCCCUUGACUGUGGGAUAACUUCAGGAAACUGGGGCUAAUACCGGAUAGGAGCUCCUGCUGCACGGUGGGGGUUGGAAAGUUUCGGCGGUUGGGGAUGGACUCGCGGCUUAUCAGCUUGUUGGUGGGGUAGUGGCUUACCAAGGCUUUGACGGGUAGCCGGCCUGAGAGGGUGACCGGCCACAGUGGGACUGGGAUACGGCCCAGACUCCUACGGGAGGCAGCAGUGGGGAAUAUUGCACGAUGGGCGGAAGCCUGAUGCAGCAACGCCGCGUGCGGGAUGACGGCCUUCGGGUUGUAAACCGCGUUCGCCUGUGACGAAGCGUGAGUGACGGUAAUGGGUAAAGAAGCACCGGCUAACUACGUG
rnacentral:rRNA from 1 species